GAUGAACGCUAGCUACAGGCUUAACACAUGCAAGUCGAGGGACCGGCGCACGGGUGAGUAACACGUAUCAAACCUGCCCUUGAGUCGGGGAUAGCCUUUCGAAAGCAAGAUUAAUACCCGAUAUAAAGGAUGGGGCUGCGUUCAAUUAGGUUGUUGGUGAGGUAACGGCUCACCAAGCCUUCGAUGGAUAGGGGUACUGAGAGGAGGUACACCCACAUUGGAACUGGGCCAAGGUCCAAAAUCCAACGAGAGGCAGCAGUGAUGAAUAUUGGGCAGUGAGCGCUAGCCUGCAACGGCCAGGUAGCGUGAAGGAUGAAGGCUUAUGGGUCGUAAACUUCUUUUAUAUAAGAAUAUGUACUAUAUGAAUAAGGAGCGGCUAACUCCGUGCCAGCAGCCGCGGUAAUAC
rnacentral:rRNA from 1 species